GGAAACUUUCCCUUUAAUUAUUCUGGUGAUUAGAUGGAUGUCUUGCACAGUAUACGUGUAUAAUAUCAUGCGGCUUAUCCGAUGUUUCUGCGCGCAUGAUGAUCGCUUCGGUCGAAGCCGAGACCAAACGGGGCUUGUAUAAUUUACAUGGAUAUUAAUGCAGCCGUAGCGCGCGACGAUGGACGGCCGUCGACUCGACGAUUACCUUAAUACUCCCCAGCAAUGUUCGUCUCUAUAUACCAACCGGCCUCUCCGCAUUGUGUGCAUAUUAUUGCGGCUGUCUCGUUCCUCGAUCCCGUGUCCAGUGUUUACAAUAGAAACCUGAUGGACCCGGCAACUGCAGAGAAUCCACCUCUACCUCGCCCCCCCCCCUGCUCUCUCUCUCUCUCUCGCUCUCUUUAUCUUCCUAUCUGUCACACAAAUGCGCAUUUCACUUUGAGCUGCAUAGGGGUCACUUCAAACCCGAGGCAUAAUCCUUCAUGCAGAAUAUUCUAGCGCUAUUAGAUCUAUCCGAUCCCUCAUAAAUCCUCUCAACAGGGCCAGUCCAUUAAUGUAUUUUACAGCUAUGUGCGUAUAAAGGCAGUAAACUGGCUUCGAUCCUGAGGAUUUAUUUGGAGAGAAACCCAAACGUAAAGUCUCUGCGGAUAUUUAUUGCAAUUUGUUUUUUCGACGUCAUUAUAAAGUGCCAGAGGCUGAGUUUAUUUUU